UGACAGCGGCCAAUAGCCAAUAGUUAGGGGUGAUAAAAUCCAAUAACCCAAAAAAAAAAAACAACCUUGAAAACAAAUGAAAAGAAACUCUACUACAUCUGGCCCAUAAAGACAAUCAAUUGUAUGUGUAAACUUCCAUGACCAAGAUGUUUUUGUUAAAAACAUAUAUUCCUCAUUUGAGUGUAUUAUCUUGAAAAAACUUGAUCCAGAACCAUUGUGCCAAGAAACAAGUCAUUGUAAUCACAAUAACUACUUAAACUACAUAUGAGCAUUCAUAGCAGUAAUACUACUUAUGCCAUUUCACUAGAAUUAUCUAUUGAACCAUCUACCUCAUGUUCCCAAUCAUCUUUUACCACUCUUCUUAUAGCAAAAAUGAAUGUUAUCCAACACACUUUCCCUGAAUGACUCUUGACAACAAAAGGUUUUUCAAACAAGAAACAGAUAAAGUCAACCUUUUAUAAGAAGUCGGUCCAAGGCAAAAUGUAGUUGGAAAUGACCAAAAUACACUUUACUUGAAAGUCUAGAAACAAAAUAAACAUUUUUUCACCCCUUCGAAAGCCCCGUACAUAAACUUUUUUUCCCAUUUUCGCUAUGCUCUAUCCAAUUAAGGUAAACAUGCCUCAUUAUAACCAGAUCAAGGCCAAUACAUUAUUUAUUUUAAAAAGAGAGAUGAUGGAUCAUAACUGAUAUACUGAUUUUAUAUUGUCACUGAUUGUUAAUUACUUAAGAUGGCAAAACAUUCAAACAGAGUUAAUUCAUUUUCCAAUACAGAUCAGCAUAUAGACUUUGCAAUUUGAUUAAACUCUCCACGAUACGAUUAAACAUAACCAACCUAAUAUCUAUCACAACUUAGAUUAGUUCAGGGAGAGCGAGGACCCAUGCGGGUUGGCCUUGCAGGUUCGUACUCGCGCGGUAACAGCGACGCACCCCCCUAGGGUUCCACGGGUUGUUUGCCGCUAGGCAAACCUUUGCCGCACGGGUAGUGUGUGAGGAAGUGGGGUCCAGUUUUGAAUAGUGUGUGGAGUAAAAGGGUGAGUCCAUGGUUCUAGGGUACUUGUGGGUAGGUGCCGCCAGUGUUUUUGGUGGUUCUAGGGUACUUGGGUGUAGAAUUGACAUGGUUUGGAUGGGGCUAGGGUAGUAACCUUGGGUGCCCCUUCCACCCUUGUAGUAAGGGGCUGUUUGUUUACCUUUUAAUGAGGCUCUUAAUGGUUCAGACCUCUUACUGCAGAUGUCUGAAUGGUUCAGACAUUUGCCUCUAAAUAGCUAAGACCUCUAAUCUGAAUUGGUCAAACAUUUACCUUAGAACGGUUAAGCAUUAUAUUGGCUCUUAAUGGUUCAGACCUAAUACUGAUCCAGCACUUAAUGGUUCAGACCUCUUCCUGGUUCAGCACUUAACCAUUCAGAAGUUGCUAAACGGCCCCUAAGUCCUAUACACUGCUGCAUACAAAAACCAUAAGCUGUAAACUUAGGGUUCUGAAUCACACUACUAGAUUGACCUGUAACACAAAUUAUCCAAAAUCACUAAACAAAACACCAAUCCAACUAUUAGGGUUUUCUUCACCUUAUGACCAACAAAACUGGUUUCUUCCUGAUUUCCUCAACUAAUUCCACCAUAAAGUCAACAUACACAACAGCAACACUACUAAAAGGAGCAAAAAAAAAAACGACCUAACAAUUCAAUUCAAUUCAUCAUAUAAUAUAAGGUAUUGCUUUGUUCGAACUAAAAGGAGCAAAAAAAAAAAAAAAAAA
rnacentral:lncRNA from 1 species